rnacentral:rRNA from 1 species
UACGUAGGGCGCAAGCGUUGUCCGGAAUUAUUGGGCGUAAAGAGCUCGUAGGCGGUUUGUCGCGUCUGUCGUGAAAGCCCACGGCUUAACCGUGGGUCUGCGGUGGAUACGGGCAGACUAGAGGCAGGUAGGGGAGAAUGGAAUUCCCGGUGUAGCGGUGAGAUGCGCAGAUAUCGGGAGGAACACCGGUGGCGAAGGCGGUUCUCUGGGCCUGUACUGACGCUGAGGAGCGAAAGCGUGGGGAGCGAACAGG